CAACAAACAAUUGCAAUUUACAAGUAUAUUUAUCUACAGAAUGUGGAAAUAAAGUUUAUCCGAAUUUACUUUAUAUAACUAUGUAUAGAAUCAACCAAAUUUAGUACUUUUAGAACGUUCUGCAAGCUUACAAGUGAAAAUGGUUGUUAUAUUAUGUUGAUAUCAAGACUGCUGCAAUUUCUAUUUAGGAAAUGUGACACUGGAAGGGCCUUAAGCUGACUAGGCCAUGUUCAUACAAUCAAAUUAUAAGGAUAGAGCCUACCUUGAUUAGUGGAUUACUGCGUAGAAUUAGUCCUACCACUAAGCUCGUAGUCCGUAGCCACCAAGUUUAAUUGAUUUGAAGUGCGGUACUCUAUUGGUGGUAUCUGGGGCUUCUACUGAGUGCAAAUGUACCAACCAAGACCACCGAUUCAGGUUUUCAUGUGUUCGGAACCAACGAUAAGCUGCUACUAUAUGUCAAAACCCAUUCCAGUCCAGUACAAAUUGGAGACUAAUGCCAAAACUUGAAAUCGGACACAGCGAAAACCAACCAAGCGGAAAAUUAACCAAACAAGCUAACAAAGCAAACAAGCUAACAAGGCCUAAAACAAACCAAGCAUUAUGACAAUGGUUACAGCGUUAAAGUUAAGUAUUAUUUUUACUUCUAGCAAAUAAAUUAGUGAAUUCUGCUAAUAAUGAAUGUAAAAUGUGUUCUACUAAGCUAGCUUAAUUCACUAAAAUAAUUCUACCACUUUAAUAUGAAUUGAUAAUAUAUUCCUCCUCACCUUGUGAUGUAAUGUGGCCAAAAUUGUAGGUUUCACUUCGAAACUCUGUAAAAUAUUUAGGAAGCUAUAAAUCCCGGUCUUCCUGGUUCCUUAUUUUCAAACCGAUUUGAAAAAUAAGUUCAUACUUCCGAUAAAAUUUGGGGUGUAAAUCCUCUAACUAAGAGAAGUAGGACCUCCUAUCAUAUCACCAGUCAAAUUCCAUCUGAAGGAAGGAAAAGUGCCAAUGUCAGUCAAAUCUGACACUAGGAAAAACAUAAUUACCAACUCAUGUUUUGAAAUCUGCAUUAAAGCUAGGUUCACCUAAUUGUUUACUAAAUUUUAGGGUACUUUGUGUACUAAUUUACUUCUGGUACUACUGUAACCUUUGACACAAUGACUUGACAAGACAAGGAUGUGACCUUAACCUAUGUUUACCAAUCAUGUAACCAUUGUCUGUAUACAUUUAUUUACUAUAAUUAUUUUUUAGAUUCUUUAAACCAAAGAGGCUUCCUACCUCCAAAGGCUAUAAUAACCAGAACAGAUCUAACCGAACCAACAGAAAGCUUUUACUACCAAAGUAAUCGCUUUCUACAUACUGGCAACCAGAUAAACUACAUCCUCAUCUGAAAAACUUUAUCAAGAUCUAUAAAAUAUAACAUUAUUAAGCUGUUAAUAUAUA
rnacentral:lncRNA from 1 species